GACGAACGCUGGCGGCGUGCCUAACACAUGCAAGUCGAGCGGGGUUGAAGCGAGGGGUAACUCGGACUUCUACCUAGCGGCGGACGGGUGAGUAACGCGUGGGCAACCUGCCUCAAGGUUUGGGAUAACAGCUCGAAAGGGCUGCUAAUACCGGAUAUGCCUGUGGCCUCGCAUGGGGCUAUGAGCAAAGGGGAAACCCGCCUUGAGAUGGGCCCGCGUCCCAUCAGCUAGUUGGUGAGGUGAAGGCUCACCAAGGCGACGACGGGUAGCCGGCCUGAGAGGGUGACCGGCCACACUGGGACUGAGACACGGCCCAGACUCCUACGGGGGCAGCAGUGGGGGAUCUUGCACAAUGGGCGAAAGCCUGAUGCAGCGACGCCGCGUGAGCGAAGAAGGCCUCGGUUGUAAGACUCUGUCUGGAGGGACGAAGAAAAUAGACGGUACUCCGGAGGAAGCACGGCUAACUACGUAGCCAGCAGCCGCGGUAAAAGUACACGUGUA
rnacentral:rRNA from 1 species